GACAGAGGGUGCAAACGUUGUUCGGAAUUACUGGGCGUAAAGCGCGCGUAGGCGGCUUUGCAAGUCGGGUGUGAAAUCCCCAGGCUUAACCUGGGAACUGCAUUCGAGACUGCAUUGCUAGAGUAUGGGAGAGGGAAGUGGAAUUUCAGGUGUAGCGGUGAAAUGCGUAGAUAUCUGAAGGAACAUCAGUGGCGAAAGCGACUUCCUGGACCAAUACUGACGCUCAUGUGCGAAAGCGUGGGGAGCAAACAGG
rnacentral:rRNA from 1 species